CAUGUGUGUGUGCGUGUGUGAUAUUUGGUAUUUAAAGAGCAGUUGGCAUUCCUUUUGUUUUUGUAGUAUUUAUUACAGCUCCAAAUCUAUAUGACAUCUUUGUGUGCCACUUCCUCAUUCAUGGGAACAAACUGUUCUGUCUGUGUGUAAUUACCACCAUGAUUGGAGAUCAGUGGUGUAAAAAGUGAAACACAGAGGUACAGAGAGUCCUCACAUGCUUCAGUGCCAUGGAUGGCGUCACGCAGCCUUGCCUUCAAUAUGACCCACAUCGUCAAAUUGACAGGUGACAAGAAGGAGAAAAAAUUGUAUGAAAUUUGUAUAAAACAAGCUUGCCUUUGUUGCUUUUUCUAUUUUAUUCUCUUUAUUAAUACUCAAGAUAGUUUAUUUGUUUUGUUACUUAUUAGUAAUAGAUUUAAUUCUUUACAUUUUCUCAAAGAAUGAAUAAGACAUUGAUCGAUUUGUUUCAUAGAAACUCUCUCUUUGGUCUUUGCUUUCACUAUUUUCUUUCAUUCUCACCACUUUUUUUCUUCCCUUUCUUCCUCUCUACCC
ensembl:lncRNA